rnacentral:tRNA from 1 species
GCGGGCGUGAUGGAAUUGGUAGACAUAUGGGACUUAAAAUCCCAAGGGCGCAAGCCCGUGCGAGUUCGAGUCUCGCCGCCCGCACCA